GUAAAAUGUGAAGAGUGGAACUGGGACCUGCUUUACAGGACUGAAUGCACAGAACAGGGCAUCCAAGUGAGCGAUGUACGCGGAGACGUCUAGAAGCCUGGACCCCUCCCAUCUGAAUGGAAACAUCUUUGAACCAUGAUGCUAAUCCAGAGUCCACAGUGAGAUCUCAAGCAAACUACCCGAGGCUUGGCUUUCCUAAUCAGCUGACCACGCUCAUCUCUGCACUGGACUCAAGUAGAGAGGAGUGAGAGGCUCCUGGGAAAUCGUGAGGAGAUGUGAGAAUUCUCCCUGAAGCUGGUAGACUUUGGAAAGAAACAGAGCAGUGCUGAUGUGAGAAGGAGAUGGAUGACAGUUGGAGAGAGCUUUCUAAAGAUGGCAGGUCACAAACAGCUUCCCUCAGAACAGAACCGGGACUCUGGCUGGUCUUAAGGAGCCUUGGGCAAAAUUCAAUAUGGCUGUCCUAAGCCCAAUAAGCCAAGUCCUUGGGAGAAUUGGAAUGAUGCUAUUUGAGGUGACAAGGCAGCCUUAUCUCUUAUAAUGCAACC
rnacentral:lncRNA from 1 species